ACUGAAUAGCUAACAAGCUGGCUAACUGACUAGCUAGCAUCUGAGCAGAUCAUCAUGAACUUCAUCCAGUUACAUCAGCCAAUACAGACCAUUCACAUAGUCCAGUCACUCAGCCCUAUCCAGAAGCUCUCAAUGUACUACACUACUUCCUCCUACAAUACCCUGAUGAGAAGCAAAAAGCCUGGCCCCAUGACUUUCACUCACUCAGAUGGUAUGUAGGCUGGUUGAUGGCACCUACAGGCCUGUUUUGAGGGACAACUGGACAGAACAUAACAGAAUGCUUGGACCUCAGCUGAAACCCUCCUCUCCUUCCCCAUAUUUCAAGGAAAGCCCCUUCUUUACACUUCCUGUUUGGCAUAAUGCUCUCAAGGAUACAUUAGGGGAAGUUGCUUUGCUGUUGGCACCAAUCCCACGCUGCCAGGCUGUCGGACAACAUCAACGACUUUAUACCCCUCAUCCUCAACGCAGUCAUAUUUUUAGACCUAUUUUCAACUUUAGUAUGCAAAAUGUUCUGGCUGCUGCCAUAGGAUAUAGUAAUUACAAACGUGUACAGUGGUGUGAGUAGGGCUUAGGUAUAAAAGCUCUCGUAUGGUGUUUGUCAUUAGAAUUUUGGUGGGCACUAUGCUGCUCAAAAGGUUCCAUGGCCACAAUAAAGCUAGAUUAGGAAUCA